GUGCUCGCUUCGGCAGCACAUAUACUAAAAUUGGAAGAUUAGCGUGGCCCCUGUGCAAGGAUGACACGCAAAUUCGUGAAGCAUUCCAUAUAUUU
rnacentral:snRNA from 1 species